rnacentral:rRNA from 1 species
CCUACGGGAGGCAGCAGUGAGGAAUAUUGGUCAAUGGCCGGAAGGCUGAACCAGCCAAGCCGCGUGAAGGACGAAGGUGCCAAGCAUUGUAAACUUCUUUUGUCAAGGGACAAAAUCAGGCGCGAGAGGCUGACCGAGGGUCGUUGAAGAAAAAGCAUCGGGUAACUCCUGUACAGCAGCGGCGGUAGUACGGGGGAUGUGAGCGUUGUACGGAUUUAGUGGGUUUAAAGGGUGCGUAGGCGGACUGUUAAGGAAGCGGUAACAGCCCGGGGCUAAACCCCGGCGAGCCGUUGAAACUGGCUGUCUUGAGAUGUCGAGAGGUAUGCGGAAUUCGCAGUGUAGCGGUGAAAUGCUUAGAGAUUGCGCAGAACUCCGAUUGCGAAGGCAGCAUACCGGCGGCGAUCUGACGCUGAGGCACGAAAGCGUGGGUAUCGAACAGGAUUAGAUACCCUAGUAGUC